GGACAAUUAACAAGGUCAUUCCAGAAUCCUUAUCAUGUCAUGUCAUGUCAUGUCAUGUCACGCCAUGUCAUGUCAUGUCAUGUCAUGUCAUGUCACGCAAAUAUCUUCUUUCCAGGAACAUGACAAAAUCAUGCUUCAAUAACAUUUCUGAGAAUUGGAGAUACAAUUCCAAAUUUAUUCUUGAUUCAAAUUAACCCUUACAUGAACAGUUAGGAUAUAG